UUUCCAGAGGAAGGUUCGUCCGCUCUGGGUAAGUCGGGACCUAAGGCGAGGCCGAAAGGCGUAGUCGAUGGACAACAGGUAGAGAUUCCUGUACUUGUAUAUAUGUGAAGGAAUGACGGAGAGAGAAAGCUGAAGCCAGCGGCUGGAAGAGCUGGUGCAAGCGAGAUAGCGGGAUGGCAGGCAAAUCCGCCAUCCACAACGCGAAGACGUGAUGCGAACGGAAAGCUACGGCGAGUACGGAAGUCAGUGGACGAGCUUCCAAGAAAAGUUUCUAACGAGAGUAUAUGCAACCCGUACCGAAAAUGGACACACAUGGGUGAGGAGAGAAUCCUAAGGUGAGCGAGAGAACUAUAGCUAAGGAACUCUGCAAAAUGACUCCGUAACUUAGGGAGAAGGAGUGCUCAUAGAGAUAUGAGCCGCAGUGAAACGGCCCAAGCGACUGUUUACCAAAAACACAGCUCUCUGCUAAGCCGCAAGGCGAAGUAUAGGGGGUGACGCCUGCCCGGUGCUGGAAGGUUAAGGGGAGGGGUUAACGCAAGUGAAGCCCUGAACUGAAGCCCCAGUAAACGGCGGCCGUAACAAUAACGGUCCUAAGGUAGCGAAAUUCCUUGUCAGGUAAGUUCUGACCCGCACGAAAGGCGUAACGAUUUGGGCGCUGUCUCGGCUGUAGACUCGGUGAAGUCUUAGUACCUGUGAAGAUGCAGGUUACCCGCGACUAGACGGAAAGACCCCAUGGAGCUUCACUGCAGGUUGAUAUUGGGAUUUGAUGCAGCAUGUACAGGAUAGGUAGGAGGCUAGGAGAUGGAUACGCCAGUAUUCAAGGAGCCGCUGUUGGGAUACUACCCCUGUUGUAUUGGAUUUCUAACCGGACGACGUAAGCCGUUGACGGGACAGUGUCAGUCGGGCAGUUUGACUGGGGCGGUCGCCUCCCAAAGAGUAACGGAGGCGCCCAAAGAUACCCUCAGCUUGGAUGGAAAUCAAGCGCAGAGUGCAAAGGCAUAAGGGUGUUUGACUGCGAGACCUACAAGUCGAGCAGGGACGAAAGUCGGGCUUAGUGAUCCGGCGGUGCUGAAUGGAAAGGCCGUCGCUCAACGGAUAAAAGCUACCCUGGGGAUAACAGGCUGAUCUCCCCCAAGAGUUCACAUCGACGGGGAGGUUUGGCACCUCGAUGUCGGCUCAUCGCAUCCUGGAGCUGAAGUCGGUUCCAAGGGUUGGGCUGUUCGCCCAUUAAAGCGGUACGCGAGCUGGGUUCAGAACGUCGUGAGACAGUUCGGUCCCUAUCUGUCGUGGGCGUAGGAAGUUUGAGAAGAUCUGUCCUCAGUACGAGAGGACCGGGAUGGACAUAUCAAUGGUGCACCAGUUGUCACGCCAGUGGCACAGCUGGGUAGCUAAAUAUGGAAGGGAUAAACGCUGAAGGCAUCUAAGUGUGAAACCCACUUCAAGAUGAGACUUCCCAUUACGCAAGUAGGUAAGACCCCUUAAAGACGAUAAGGUUGAUAGGUCAGGAGUGUAAGCAUGGUGACAUGUUCAGCGGACUGAUACUAAUAGGUCGAGGAGAUCGGA
rnacentral:rRNA from 1 species